rnacentral:rRNA from 1 species
AAUUUAUACAGUGAAACUCGGAAUGGCUCAUUAAAUCAGUUAUCGUUUAUUUGAUCGUACCUUUACUACUUGGAAUAACCGUGGUAAUUCUAGAGCUAAUACAUGCUUAAAAAUCCCAACUUCGGAAGGGAUGUAUUUAUUAGAUAAAAAAUCAAUGCUUUCGGAGCUCUUUAGAUGAUUCAUAAUAACUUUUCGAAUCGCAUGGCCUUCGGCCGGCGGUGGUUCAUUCAAAUUUCUGCCCUAUCAACUUUCGUAGGUAGGAUAGUGGCCUACCAUGGUUUGGGUAACGGGGAAUAAGGGUUCGAUUCCGGAGAGGGAGCCUGAGAAACGGCUACCACAUCCAAGGAAGGCAGCAGGCGCGCAAAUUACCCAAUCCGAAUACAGGGGAGGUAGUGACAAUAAAUAACGAUACAGGGCCAUUUCGGGUCUUGUAAUUGGAAUGAGUACAAUGUAAAUACCUUAACGAGGAANNNNNNNNNGGCAAGUCUGGUGCCAGCAGCCGCGGNAAUUCCAGCUCCAAAAGCGUAUAUUAAAGUUGUUGCAGUUAAAAAGCUCGUAGUUGAACCUUGGGCUUGGUUAGCCGGUCCACCUUUUUUGGUGUGUACUGACCUAACCGAGCCUUUCCUUCUGGCUAACCUUCUCCUCCGGGAGUUGGCGAACCAGGACUUUUACUUUGAAAAAAUUAGAGUGUUCAAAGCAGGCACUUUGCUCGAAUAUAUUAGCAUGGAAUAAUAGAAUAGGACGUUAUGGUUCUAUUUUGUUGGUUUCUAGGACCAUCGUAAUGAUUAAUAGGGAUGGACAGGGGAAUUAGUAUUCAGUAGUCAGAGGUGAAAUUCUUGGAUUUACUGAAGACUAACUACUGCGAAAGCAUUUUCCAGGACACUCCUGCUAAUCAAGAACGAAAGUUAGGGGAUCGAAGAUGAUNAGAUACCGUCGUAGUCUAAACCAUAAACUAUGCCGACUAGGGAUCGGGUGGUGUUCUUUGACGCACUCGGCACC